rnacentral:rRNA from 1 species
UGGCGGACGGGUGAGUAACGCGUGGGGAACCUGCCUUGCACCGGGGGAUAACACUUAGAAAUAGGUGCUAAUACCGCAUAAGCGCACAGCUUCGCAUGAAGCGGUGUGAAAAACUCUGGUGGUAUACGAUGGUUCCGCGUCUGAUUAGCUAGUUGGUGGGGUAAUGGCCUACCAAGGCAACGAUCAGUAGCCGGCCUGAGAGGGUGAACGGCCACAUUGGGACUGAGACACGGCCCAAACUCCUACGGGAGGCAGCAG